rnacentral:misc_RNA from 1 species
GAUGAAGAACGCAGCGAAAUGCGAUACGUAAUGUGAAUUACAGAAUUCAGUGAAUCAUCGAAUCUUUGAACGCACAUUGCGCCCCUUGGUAUUCCGAGGGGCAUGCCUGUUCGAGCGUCAUUUCAACCCUCAAGCACAGCUUGGUCUUGGGCUUCGCCGCUAACCCGGCGGGUCUUAAAAUCAGUGGCGGUGCCGUCGGGCCCUGAGCGCAGUAAUCUCUCUCGCUAUAGGGUCCCGGCGGAUGCUGGCCAGUAACCCCCAAUUUUCUAUGGUUGACCUCGGAUCAGGUAGGGAUACCCGCUGAACUUAAGCAUAUCAAUAAGCGGAGGA